rnacentral:lncRNA from 1 species
AUUUCAUACUUGGAAAAGGAUUAUGGAAAUUUAACAACUCACUUUUACAUGAUAUUGAAUACUCCAAAACUAUAAAAGACACUAUACUUAAAGUAAAAGACCAAUAUGCAUCAUUAGUAUAUAAUAGAGAAACGUUAGAAGAAAUUAAUGAUUUAGACAUCCACUUUACAAUAAAUGACCAACUUUUUUUAGAAAUAUUACUUACAGAAAUCAGAGGAAAAACUAUUUCCUAUGCAUCUUAUAAAAAGAAGGAAAGAGAUAAAGAGGAAAAAAUAUUAUCAGAAAAAAUUCAGAAAUUAGAGGAAAGCAUCUUAACAGAGGAAAUAUUAAAUGAAAUUGAACACCAUAAAUCUGAUCUUAGAAUAAUAAGGAAAGAAAAAAUGAGGGGAUACUAUAUCAGGUCAAAAAUGCAAUGGAUUGAAGAAGGGGAAAAGCCAUCUAGUUUUUUUUUUGAAUAUGGAAACUAAACAUUUUAUAAAUAAA